rnacentral:rRNA from 1 species
UACGUAGGUGGCAAGCGUUAUCCGGAAUUAUUGGGCGUAAAGCGCGCGUAGGCGGUUUUUUAAGUCUGAUGUGAAAGCCCACGGCUCAACCGUGGAGGGUCAUUGGAAACUGGAAAACUUGAGUGCGGAAGAGGAAAGUGGAAUUCCAUGUGUAGCGGUGAAAUGCGCAGAGAUAUGGAGGAACACCAGUGGCGAAGGCGACUUUCUGGUCUGUAACUGACGCUGAUGUGCGAA